GAAAAGGGAUAGAAAGUUAUCUGAGCAGUGAUUGUGGUCGCUGCAUCUUAAUUGUUUCUUAAACCACCUUUGUUGCUCGUUUCAGCCAACUAAUAUGCUGCAGUAAUGGUGCGGUGGGCACCGUACUGUGUCUGAAGUUCUGAGGAUCUCUUUAUGUUCUUGCCUGAGGGAUGGACAAUGCCCUGAAUAUAGUGCUGAUGAACAAGCAAUUUGCGCUGUCGGCCUUGCUAAAUCAAAGUCUGGAAUUUUUGUUGAAGCAAUCCACUAUCUCUUAGUGUUGGCAACUCCUGUUGAGUUGAUUGUCGUUAGAGUAUUCUUGAGGGUGAUGACGCUGGAGCGGAAGGAGCCAUGGGCAUUAACAAGACAGAGGAGGUCGUCGAGGAGGUGGUUGACCUAGGCAAACUGACGAUGAAGGGUCCUGGACGUGGGGAAGAUGAAGGAGAUCGUCAAUGGCAGCGAUGAGUCGGAGAGCGACGCUAGCGACAAGCGGAGAAGGAUGAGGGGUACU